rnacentral:sRNA from 1 species
CGUUGUCUCCGACAACAGCCAAUGUCCCAGCAAUCUGAGAGGGACGCCUUCGGGUGAUUGCCUGAAUCGCCACGGAUUUAACAGAUACCUCGGAGUCAUUUAAGAUGGCUUAAUGAGAGGUGCCCAUGAGCGGUAAGCGUUAU